CCUAUAUUUUGAUGAAUUUUGUGAUUUCUUCAUUACAUUUUUAUUUGGCUGUUCGUGCGUACAAAAAAAUAUUCGGUAGCCGAAGCCUUCACCCGCUAGUUAGUGAUUGGUCAACAGUACUACUCCUAGUAGGAGCAGGAACUAUGGACGGGAUUUCUUCAAUUAAGUGUUUGUCAUUCAAUGAGAGAUUACUAGUUUUAAUGCACUUUUAACUUCAGAAAUACUGCACAAAACAUCUUAGCAAGACGUCUAAAUUAAUGAUUUCUUGAUUUAUCUUAGAUGAAUUCUGAUUUAUUUUGAACAAGUGUUAUGGCUAUGUUGCUACGGUGGAUCACGAGGGACAAACAACAGUGAUAUUGCCAGGUCUUUAGGGAGUAUGUGAGCAUAGACCUUCGCUUCGCCUAGCUGAGUUGUGCUAAGAGCAAAUUGAACAUAUACACUACAUGGCCAAAAGUACCUGCUCGUCGAACAUCUCAUUCCAAAAAACAUGGGCAUAAAUAUGGUGUUGAUUUUCCCCCCCUUUGCUGCUAUAACAGCCUCCACUCUUCUGGGAAGUCAUUAAUAUGGAGGUUCUGCUGCUAUAACAGCCUCCACUCUUCUGGGAAGGCUUUCCAAUAGACGUUGAAACUCUGCUGCAGGGACUUGCUUCCAUUCAGGCACAAGAGCAUUAGUGAAGUUAUUUUUGUAUUUAUUUGGCCUUUAUUUAACUAGGCAAGUCAGUUAAGAACAAAUUCUUAUUUUCAAUGAUGGCCUAGGAACAGUGGGUUAACUACCUGUUCAGGGGCAGAAUGACAGGCUACCCUGCCGCCCCAGGGCAUUGAUGUUGGGCGAUUAGGCCAGGCUCGCAAUCAGCAUUCCAAUUCAUGCCAACGGUGUUUGAUGGUUGAGUUUAGGGCACUGUGAAGGCAAGUCAAGUUCUUCCACAGCAAUCUCAACAAAAUAUUUCUGUAUGGACCUCGCUUUGUGCACGGGGGCAUUGUCAUGCUGAAACAGGAAAGGGCCUUCCCCAUGCUGUUGCUAUAAAGUUGGAAACACAGAAUCAUCUAGAAUGUCAUUGUAUGCUGUAGUGUUAAGAUUUCCCUUCACUGGAACUAAGGGGCCUAGCCCGAACCAUGAAAAAUAGCCCCAGACCAUUAUUCCUCCUCCACCAAACUUUACAGUUGUCACUAGGCAUUAGGGCAGGUAGCGUUCUCCUGGCAUUCGCCAAACCGAGAUUUGUCUGUCGGACUGCCUGAUGGUGAAUUGUGAUUCAUCACUCCAGAGAACAUGUUUCCAAUGCUCCAGAGUCCAAUGGUCGGGAGCUUUGCACCACUCCAGCCAACGCUUAGCAUUGCGCAUGGUGAUCUUAGGCUUGUGUGCGGCUGCUCUGUCAUGGAAACCCAUUUCAUGAAGCUCCCGAGGAACAGUUAUUGUUCUGACAUUGCUUCUGUAACAGUAUAACUUUUAAACCGUCCCCUCGCCCAUACCCGGGUGCGAACCAGGGACCCUCUGCACACAUCAACAGUCACCCACGAAGCAUCGUCACCCAUCGCUCCACAAAAGCAGCGGCCCUUGCAGAGCAAGGGGAACUACUACUUCGAGGUCUCAGAGCAAGUGACGUCACCGAUUGAAACGCUAUUUAGCGCGCACCGCUAACUAAGCUAGCCGUUUCACAUCCGUUACACUUCCAGAGGCAGUUUGGAACUCGGUAGUGAGUGUUGCACCUGUAGUCAAAGAUCAGCUCCUUUGUCUUGAUCACGUUGAGGGGGAGGUUGUUGUUCUGGCACCACACUGUCAGGUCUCUGACCUCUUCCCUAUAGGCUGUCUCAUCGUUGAGGGGGAGGUUGUUGUUCUGGCACCACACUGUCAGGUCUCUGACCUCUUCCCUAUAGGCUGUCUCAUCGUUGUCAGUGAUCAGGCCUACCACCAGGUCUCUGACCUCUUCCCUAUAGGCUGUCUCAUCGUUGUCAGUGAUCAGGCCUACCACCAGGUCUCUGGCCUCCUCCCUAUAGGCUGUCUCAUCGUUGUCAGUGAUCAGGCCUACCACCAGGUCUCUGGCCUCCUCCCUAUAGGCUGUCUCAUCGUUGUCAGUGAUCAGGCCUACCACCAGGUCUCUGACCUCCCUAUAGGCUGUCUCAUCGUUGUCAGUGAUCAGGCCUACCACCAGGUCUCUGGCCUCCUCCCUAUAGGCUGUCUCAUCGUUGUCAGUGUUCAGGCCUACCACCAGGUCUCUGACCUCCCUAUAGGCUGUCUCAUCGUUGUCAGUGAUCAGGCCUACCACCAGGUCUCUGGCCUCCUCCCUAUAGGCUGUCUCAUCGUUGUCAGUGAUCAGGCCUACCACCAGGUCUCUGACCUCUUCCCUAUAGGCUGUCUCAUCGUUGAGGGUGAUCAGGCCUACCACCAGGUCUCUGACCUCUUCCCUAUAGGCUGUCUCAUCGUUGUUGGUGAUCAGGCCUACCACCGUUGUUGUCGGAAACUUAAUUUUGGAGUAGUUUGGCCAUGCAGUCGGGUGAACAGAGUACAGCAGGAGUCGAAGCACCCCUGACGGGCCCCCGUGUUGAGGAUCAGUGUGCCAGAUGUGUUGUUGCCUACCCCAUACCACCUGAGGUCGUCCCGUCUGGACGUCCAGGAUCCUUCCUUCCGGUUACUAGUCCAACGCUCUAACCACUAGGCUACCCUGCCACCCCAAGAUAAACUAUCUUGGUAAAUAGUGUGGUCUACAGCUUCAUAUGAGAUACUCUACCUCAGGCGAGCAAAACCUUGAGUCUUUAAUAUUAGAUAUUGUUAUAUUAGAUCACCAGCUGUUAUUGACAAAUCGACACAUCCACUAAUUUGAAGGGAUGUCCACAUACUUGUGUAUAUAUAGUGUAUGUUCUGAUAGGAGCAAACUGAACAUACAGUGCAUUUGGAAAGUAUUCAGACCCCUUUUUCCACAUUUUGUGUUACAGCCUUAUUCUAAAAUUAAUAAAAUAAAAUCCCCUCAAUCUACACACAAUACCCCAUAUGAUACAUUUGAUGAUGAUACAUUUGAUUUAUUAACUGUGUUUUAUAUUCGGUGAUUAUUAACUGUGUUUUAUAUUCAGUGAUUAUUAACUGUGUUUUAUAUUCAGUGAUUAUUAACUGUGUUUUAUAUUCAGUGAUUAUUAACUGUGUUUUAUAUUCAGUGAUUAUUAACUGUGUUUUAUAUUCGGUGAUUAUUAACUGUGUUUUU